AAGAUGAGCCUGCGCAUGAUUAGCUAGUUGGUGAGGUAAUGGCUCACCAAGGCGACGAUCAUUAGCAGAUCUGAGAGGAUGAUCUGCCACACUGGAACUGACACACGGUCCAGACUCCUACGGGAGGCAGCAGUGGGGAAUAUUGCGCAAUGGAGGCAACUCUGACGCAGCCAUGCCGCGUGCAGGAAGAAGGCGCUACGCGUUGUAAACUGCUUUUAACCGGGAAGAAACCCCAGGACGUGUCCUGGGUUGACGGUACCGGAGGAAUAAGCACCGGCUAACUUCGUGCCAGCAGCCGCGGUAAUACGAAGGGUGCAAGCGUUAUCCGGAUUCAUUGGGUUUAAAGGGUGCGUAGGCGGGGCCGUAAGUCAGUGGUGAAAUCCUGCAGCUUAACUGUAGAAUUGCCAUUGAUACUGCGGUUCUUGAGUACGCUUGAUGUGGGCGGAAUGUGCCGUGUAGCGGUGAAAUGCUUAGAUAUGGCACAGAACACCGAUCGCGAAGGCAGCUCACAAAGGCGAAACCGACGCUGAGGCACGAAAGCGUGGGGAUCGAACAGGAUUAGAUACCCUGGUAGUCCACGCUGUAAACGAUGAUCACUCGAGAUCGGCGAUAUACGGUCGGUCUCCUAGCGAAAGCGUUAAGUGAUCCACCUGGGGAGUACGAUCGCAAGAUUGAAACUCAAAGGAAUUGACGGGGGCCCGCACAAGCGGUGGAGCAUGUGGUUCAAUUCGAUGAUACGCGAGGAACCUUACCAGGGCUCGAACGCACGACGACAGGGGCGGAAACGUCCUCUUCUUCGGACGGCGUGCGAGGUGCUGCAUGGCUGUCGUCAGCUCGUGCCGUGAGGUGUCGGGUUAAGUCCCAUAACGAGCGCAACCCCCAUCCAUAGUUGCCAGCGGGUAAUGCCGGGAACUCUAUGGAAACUGCCCGUGUAAGCGGUGAGGAAGGUGGGGACGACGUCAAGUCAUCACGGCCCUUACGUCCUGGGCUACACACGUGCUACAAUGGCGAGGAACAAAGGGAAGCUACCGCGCGAGCGGAUGCCGAUCUCCAAAACUCGUCUC
rnacentral:rRNA from 1 species